GACGAACGCUGGCGGCGUGCCUAAUACAUGCAAGUAGAACGCACAGUUUAUACCGUAGCUUGCUACACCAUAGACUGUGAGUUGCGAACGGGUGAGUAACGCGUAGGUAACCUGCCUGGUAGCGGGGGAUAACUAUUGGAAACGAUAGCUAAUACCGCAUAAUAUUGAUUAUUGCAUGAUAAUUGAUUGAAAGAUGCUAUUGCAUCACUACCAGAUGGACCUGCGUUGUAUUAGCUAGUAGGUGAGGUAACGGCUCACCUAGGCGACGAUACAUAGCCGACCUGAGAGGGUGAUCGGCCACACUGGGACUGAGACACGGCCCAGACUCCUACGGGAGGCAGCAGUAGGGAAUCGUCGGCAAUGGACGAAAGUCUGACCGAGCAACGCCGCGUGAGUGAAGAAGGGUUUCGGAUCGUAAAGCUCUGUUGUAAGAGAAGAACGGGUGUGAGAGUGGAAAGUUCACACUGUGACGGUAUCUUACCAGAAAGGGACGGCUAACUACGUG
rnacentral:rRNA from 1 species